CGCACGCCCCGCACCACGAUUCCCACGCCCUGCACCUCCUCCCAACGACCAGAGCACGGCCGGGCAUCCGCCGCCGCUCCACGGCCGAGCCUCCAUCCUCCGCCGCCGCCGCCACCGUGUGGGACUUGCCCACGCGAGGCGGCCGCCGGCGAACGUGGCUGCACCCGAGACCGUGGCGCGCUGACAAAUGUGGGAACACCGGUCUCUUCCCUGCCGUCGGUGACCUCUCUGCUGCCACGUCCGCCCUCGUCCGGCCAUAUCUCCUACGGAACAGGCUGCUCCAUCCAUCGUCCCUCCUCCGGCCGCCCCCGCUCCUUCGGCAGAGCCUGUGCGCGACCGCCGUCGUUCCUCCGGCAGAGGCAACGCCGCGCCCAGCCGCCCCCGCUCCCCCGGCAGCGUGCCUCACAACAGCUCCUACGCGCUCCUCCGCCGCCGGACGCCGGCUCCCGCGCCCAGGCGCCGCCCGCUCACGUCCGGUCCACACCUUUCAGCUCACGCCGCCGCCGACCCUCCAUACCUGCCCGUCGAGCUCUCGGCAAGUGGAGUUCUUCCGGAGGAUCUCGUAAUGCCAUAAUCCAUAGUUUUUCAGUAAGCAUCAAGGCCCUCGCCGCCUGCCCGCCUCAUCUCGACAGAUUUAGAGGCGCGCGGGAGCUGCCACAGCCGCCAUCGGGAAUGUGGGCGCAUGCGAGGCGGCCACCGGUGAACAAGGUCGUGCGUGAGCGCGCAGCGCGGCGACUCAGAGCUCUCUGACACUAGCAUACUGCCGAGUCCCAAUGAAAUGCUGCCAGGAAUCAAGCGUUAGUUGGUGAAACAACAUCUUCAAGGUCUAGGGUAAAGUGGGAGAGAUGCUACACUUCCGCGCAGAUUCUAUGGAAUUAAGUUACACACUGAUGCGUUGAAUCUCGAUUGGAAAUCUCGAGAGGGUGUGACCCAGGCCCUAAAAAUCAGGGGGGAAUGAAUCUGGUGGAUGACAACAAAUUCAGGCUAUGGACAGAUGAUUUCAAAGAUUACCAAAUUAUUUAUUUGGAAUGAGAUUACCCACAUAAUAAUUCAGAAGAGUAGUACUUUAUCUUACUACCAUGAGAAGUUCAUCACAUGGUUGCAGAUGAGACUGAACACCCUGAUGCGUUGUUGGAGGAGGUGGUGAUCCGGUCAUGUUAUGCCCAUUAGGAAAUAUAAGGAGCUGAACUGGUCUUUUUGGUGCGUGGCUGGUCGUGAUGUUUCUACGAAUGCCUCUGUGGGCAAUACACAGAUCAUCCUUUUUCAAUCAACAGGCUGGUACGAGAUGUUAAAAUGGGUUCCUAUUUGUCUACCAUCAUUCUUCUAUUUCAAAAGUGUUAAUUCCAUCGAUUUCUUGCUUAUAUGUAUACUGACUGCAGAUUGGCUGAAAUUUCAGUUUGCAAAACCCAUGAUCCAAUCCAUGCUUUGUCUUAUGCUACUGCUGGCCUUGUCCUUCCAAAUAGAUAAAUGCAUGAUGGACCUGUGGUAGCUCCUGCAGAUGCUUACAUGUUGUCAACAUUAGAUGAUGAUUUGGUUAGUGACUAUUUAAAAAAAUCUCAAUCUAACAUGUACACUAUAUUUGCAUGUUAGUUUUGUUUUUGAAUU